rnacentral:rRNA from 1 species
UUAAGUUAAUAAGGGCGCACGGUGGAUGCCUUGGCACUAGAAGCCGAAGAAGGACGUGACUAACGACGAAAUGCUUUGGGGAGCUGUAAGUAAGCGCUGAUCCAGAGAUGUCCGAAUGGGGGAACCCACUAGUUAAUGACUAGUAUCCAUAUCUGUUAAGGAUAUGAGAAGGAAGACGCAGUGAACUGAAACAUCUAAGUAGCUGCAGGAAGAGAAAGCAAAAGCGAUUGCCUUAGUAGCGGCGAGCGAAACGGCAGGAGGGCAAACCGAAGUGUUUACACUUCGGGGUUGUAGGACUGCGAUAUAGGAUUAAUCAUUAUAGAAGAAUUACCUGGGAAGGUAAGCCAAAGAGAGUAACAGCCUCGUAUUUAAAAUGAUAGAUUAACCUUAGCAGUAUCCUGAGUACGGCGAGACACGCGAAAUCUCGUCGGAAUCUGGGAGGACCAUCUCCCAACCCUAAAUACUCUCUAGUGACCGAUAGUGAACCAGUACCGUGAGGGAAAGGUGAAAAGCACCCCGGGAGGGGAGUGAAAUAGAACCUGAAACCGUGUGCCUACAACAAGUUCGAGCCCGUUAAUGGGUGAGAGCGUGCCUUUUGUAGAAUGAACCGGCGAGUUACGAUAUGAUGCGAGGUUAAGUUGAAGAGACGGAGCCGUAGGGAAACCGAGUCUUAAUAGGGCGUCAUAGUAUCAUGUUGUAGACCCGAAACCAUGUGACCUACCCAUGAGCAGGUUGAAGGUGAGGUAAAACUCACUGGAGGACCGAACCAGGGCACGUUGAAAAGUGCUUGGAUGACUUGUGGGUAGCGGAGAAAUUCCAAACGAACUUGGAGAUAGCUGGUUCUCUCCGAAAUAGCUUUAGGGCUAGCGUCGAUGUUAAGUCUCUUGGAGGUAGAGCACUGUUUGGGUGAGGGGUCCAUCCCGGAUUACCAAUCUCAGAUAAACUCCGAAUGCCAACGAGAUAUAAUCGGCAGUCAGACUGCGAGUGCUAAGAUCCGUAGUCGAAAGGGAAACAGCCCAGACCACCAGCUAAGGUCCCAAAAUAUAUGUUAAGUGGAAAAGGAUGUGGGGUUGCACAGACAACUAGGAUGUUAGCUUAGAAGCAGCUAUUCAUUCAAAGAGUGCGUAAUAGCUCACUAGUCGAGUGACCCUGCGCCGAAAAUGUACCGGGGCUAAAACAUAUUACCGAAGCUGUGGAUGACACAAAAGUGUCAUGGUAGGAGAGCGUUCUAUGUGUGAAGAAGGUGUACCGUGAGGAGCGCUGGAACGCAUAGAAGUGAGAAUGCCGGUAUGAGUAGCGCAAGACAGGUGAGAAUCCUGUCCACCGUAAGACUAAGGUUUCCAGGGGAAGGCUCGUCCGCCCUGGGUUAGUCGGGACCUAAGGAGAGACCGAAAGGUGUAUCCGAUGGACAACAGGUUGAUAUUCCUGUACUAGAGUAUAUAGUGAUGGAGGGACGCAGUAGGCUAACUAAACCAGACGAUUGGAAGUGUCUGGUCAAACAGUGAGGUGUGAUAUGAGUCAAAUGCUUAUAUCUUUAACAUUGAGCUGUGACGAGGAGCGAAGUUUAGUAGCGAAGUUAGUGAUGUCACACUGCCAAGAAAAGCUUCUAGCGAUACAUAUACUCUACCCGUACCGCAAACCGACACAGGUAGUCGAGGCGAGUAGCCUCAGGUGAGCGAGAGAACUCUCGUUAAGGAACUCGGCAAAAUGGCCCCGUAACUUCGGGAGAAGGGGCGCUGAUUUUAGAUCAGCCGCAGUGAAUAGGCCCAAGCAACUGUUUAUCAAAAACACAGCUCUCUGCUAAAUCGUAAGAUGAUGUAUAGGGGGUGACGCCUGCCCGGUGCUGGAAGGUUAAGAGGAGUGCUUAGCGUAAGCGAAGGUAUGAAUUGAAGCCCCAGUAAACGGCGGCCGUAACUAUAACGGUCCUAAGGUAGCGAAAUUCCUUGUCGGGUAAGUUCCG